rnacentral:rRNA from 1 species
UACGUAGGGUGCGAGCGUUAAUCGGAAUUACUGGGCGUAAAGCGUGCGCAGGCGGUGAUGUAAGACAGGUGUGAAAUCCCCGGGCUUAACCUGGGAACUGCAUUUGUGACUGCAUCGCUGGAGUGCGGCAGAGGGGGAUGGAAUUCCGCGUGUAGCAGUGAAAUGCGUAGAUAUGCGGAGGAACACCGAUGGCGAAGGCAAUCCCCUGGGCAGUAACUGACGCUGAGGAGCGAAAGCGUGGGGAGCGAACAGG